rnacentral:rRNA from 1 species
AGAGUUUGAUCCUGGCUCAGAAUCAACGCUGGCGGCGUGCCUAACACAUGCAAGUCGAACGAGAAAGUGGAGCAAUCCAUGAGUAAAGUGGCGACCGGGUGAGUAACACGUGACUAACCUACCCUUGAAUGGGGAAUAACCUUCCGAAAGGAGGGCUAAUACCGCAUAAAGUCCUGAGGCUGAAAUGCCAUUGGACCAAAGGAGCAAUUCGUUUAAGGAGGGGGUCGCGGUUGAUUAGCUAGUUGGUGGGGUAAUGGCCCACCAAGGCGAUGAUCAAUAGCCGGCCUGAGAGGGCGCACGGCCACACUGGAACUGAAACACGGUCCAGACUCCUACGGGAGGCAGCAGUGGGGAAUUUUGCGCAAUGGGGGAAACCCUGACGCAGCAACGCCGCGUGGAGGAUGAAGGUCUUUGGAUUGUAAACUCCUUUCGAUCGGGAAGAUUAUGACGGUACCGGAAGAAGAAGCCCCGGCUAACUUCGUGCCAGCAGCCGCGGUAAUACGAAGGGGGCAAGCGUUGUUCGGAAUUAUUGGGCGUAAAGGGAGCGUAGGCGGUUCGGCAAGUCUUUAGUGAAAUCUCUGGGCUCAACUCAGAGUCUGCUGGAGAAACUGCCGGGCUGGAGUAUGGGAGAGGUGAGUGGAAUUCCUGGUGUAGCGGUGAAAUGCGUAGAUAUCAGGAGGAACACCUGUGGCGAAAGCGGCUCACUGGACCAUUACUGACGCUGAUGCUCGAAAGCUAGGGGAGCAAACAGGAUUAGAUACCCUAGUAGUCC